rnacentral:tRNA from 1 species
UCCCUGAUGGCUCAGAUGGUAAAGAAUCUGCCUACAAUGCAGGAGAUUCGGGUUCAAUCCUGGGUCAGGGAA